rnacentral:rRNA from 1 species
UACGUAGGGGCUAGCGUUGUCCGGAAUCAUUUGGGCGUAAAGAGCGUGUAGGCGGCCCGGUAAGUCCGCUGUGAAAGUCGGGGCUCAACCCUCGAAUGCCGGUGGAUACUGUCGGGCUAGAGUGCGGAAGAGGCGAGUGGAAUUCCUGGUGUAGCGGUGAAAUGCGCAGAUAUCAGGAGGAACACCAAUUGCGAAGGCAGCUCGCUGGGACGUAACUGACGCUGGAGACGCGAAAGCGUGGGGAGCAAACAGG